GACGAACGCGGCGGCGUGCCUAAUACAUGCAAGUCGAGCGGAGAUUUAAAAGCUUGCUUUUAAAUCUUAGCGGCGGACGGGUGAGUAACACGUGGGCAACCUGCCCUGUAGACUGGGAUAACUUCGGGAAACCGAAGCUAAUACCGGAUAAUCGAAGGGACCUCAUGGUUCUUUAGUAAAAGUUGGGUUUACCUAACACUACAGGAUGGGCCCGCGUCGCAUUAGCUAGUUGGUAGGGUAAUGGCCUACCAAGGCGACGAUGCGUAGCCGACCUGAGAGGGUGAUCGGCCACACUGGGACUGAGACACGGCCCAGACUCCUACGGGAGGCAGCAGUAGGGAAUCUUCCGCAAUGGACGAAAGUCUGACGGAGCAACGCCGCGUGAGCGAUGAAGGCCUUCGGGUCGUAAAGCUCUGUUGUUAGGGAAGAACAAGUACUGUUCAAAUAGGGCAGUACCUUGACGUACCUAACGAGAAGCCAC
rnacentral:rRNA from 1 species